AUUGAACGCUGGCGGCAUGCCUUACACAUGCAAGUCGAACGGCAGCGGGCCUUCGGGUGCCGGCGAGUGGCGAACGGGUGAGUAAUGCAUCGGAACGUGCCAUUGAGUGGGGGAUAACGUAGCGAAAGUUGCGCUAAUACCGCAUAUUCUGUGAGCAGGAAAGCAGGGGACCGCAAGGCCUUGCGCUCUUUGAGCGGCCGAUGUCAGAUUAGCUAGUUGUGGGGUAAGGCCUACCAAGGCGACGAUCUGUAGCGGGUCUGAGAGGAUGAUCCGCCACACUGGAACUGAGACACGGUCCAGACUCCUACGGGAGGCAGCAGUGGGGAAUUUUGGACAAUGGGGGCAACCCUGAUCCAGCCAUGCCGCGUGAGUGAAGAAGGCC
rnacentral:rRNA from 1 species